AUCAAAUGCUCUCUUCCCUAGGUUUCUUUGCUCCAAUACUAGUUCUUUGCUGCGUUUCUUCUCUGUGAAUUUCUCAAUAUUUUCUCUGCUCAAACACCUCACAAUCUCUCAAAUCGCUCAAAUCACAGUAGAGACAACUCAAAGAAGGAAGGAGGAAAGUUCAAAGUUUGAAAAUCAUUGCGAGGGUAAGCAGUUCUAAGCCGUUCGAAGUUUUGAAGAAAAAGGGCAUACUUGUAUGUAAUUCAGGAAGGAGAGCAUGAUAAAUCUGAAGGUUGUGGCGGGCUGCGAAAGCAUAAGUUGCAAGCCUUUGUGAUCAGCACUAUGCUGCUUUUUAGAGCAUGAAAAGCCGAUUUGCGAAGGAAUAUGGAACAGGAGUUGCAAAGGAGGUUGGAAGAGGAGCGUGAACAAGUGGAUAUAGAACAAUAAGCUGCUUUCAUGACCCGAAUGCAACAGGUCCAAGGUCCAAGGUUCAUAAACAAUGGCGUAAAAUGUACAAUAAAGUAUUGUGUAGUCUAUAUUGUAAUUGACUUUUUAGUAGUGGAAGUAAUUUUAAUAUUUUGUUUGAGAAAUGCUUUUGGGUGUUUGUUGGAUAAUAUUUGAUUCUCUUAAUACUUGUAGACAAUUGAUAGAAAUAUAUUUGUAUUUUAAUUUAGACAAUUGGUUGCCACUAGAAAUGUAGUAUAAU